rnacentral:rRNA from 1 species
AGGCGAGCCUGACGGAGCACGCCGCGUGAGUGAUGAAGGUCUUCGGAUCGUAAAACUCUGUUAUUAGGGAAGAACAAACGUGUAAGUAACUGUGCACGUCUUGACGGUACCUAAUCAGAAAGCCACGGCUAACUACGUGCCAGCAGCCGCGGUAAUUGA